rnacentral:lncRNA from 1 species
CUUUCUCAUGCUGUUCUCACGAUAGUGAAUAAGUCUCACAAGAUCUGAAGGUUAUAUAAAGAGAAGUUCCCUACACCACUUCUGUCUUUGCCUGCUGCCAUCCACGUGAUAUGUGACUUGCUGCUCCUUGCCUUCUGCCAUAAUUGUGAGGCCUCCUCAGCCACACGGAAAUGCUUAUAGGCAUAAGAGACUUGCCUUGUCUCAGAUGAAACUUUGGACUGUGGACUUUUGAGUUAAUGCUGAUAUUAGGACUCUGCUUACCCUUUGUGAAUAAGCCCAGUGAAUCUGCUGAGUGAUGAGAGAGAGAGUGGGCCAGUCACUUCAUUGCUCCAGGUAACAUGCAGUUAUCUUCCCCCAGGAUUUUCUGUUGAAUGACACUUCAUAAAAAAGACUUUGAUUGCUGAGUUACAAAGACAAUUGUAUCUUCUUGUAAAGCAUACAGUCUUGGUGGUCCUACCCCAUGAACUGGCUGUCCCAGGACGGUUUUACGGUGGUUAUGUUGAAGAUGUAAAUAUUCUCCCUGCUGUGAGUAUUACUGCAGCUGCCCAAAGAUGCUUUAUUUUAAAGAUGUGGAUACAGGAAGAUAAAAGCAUCAGAAACACUGCAUGGGAAAAUCAUUCAGACUGCAGCUUCCUGGUUUUAGACAUCCCCACUGGCAAUUGGGACAUCUAUUUUGGAGAUGUAAUUGAAAAGACUGAAGAAUGUACUGAGGACCUUCUGGCUGAUAGAAGCUGACAAAGAAGCCAAGAUUGGUGAAGAUUUCUGCAAUACCUGAGUUUCUAAUCACAACAACAAAAAUGACCUGGAUAGAAAACCUUGGAGAUAGUAAUUGAUGGGCAUCACGUAGCUGGUUGCUGGAGAAACACUGAAGCAGAACUUGUAAUAUCUUCAAAACAAGUGAAGGCCAGGAAUCAGAAAUGCUUCUGAAGGUCAGCUGCCUCUCCAGCCAUCUAUGAAGAGCUAUGGUUCUGAAUCCUGGCUAAUAUCAGAAUCAUCCUGGGAGCUUUUGAAAAUCCUGAUGCUCAAGUCACACUCCAUACUCAGGUUGUGUAAGCAGAAGCUGGAAGACCCUUGAAAAGAGCAUUCAUUCAAGAAAUGAAGCAUGAGAUAGGAUGGAAGGAGGGAAGAAAGACAAGCAUAUGGCAUAUCAGGUCUCUUCCAGUGCUAAAGGCUGCCUAUGAUACUCAUCUGACCUGAUUUCUCCUGCACAGUGUUGCAACUGACGAGUAGCAGACUUGCCCUUGCCUGCAUUUGGGGGGAUGGCUGAGACUUUCCUUACAGAAAGCCCUACUUUCAGCAUGAACACUAACCCAGUUUAUUGGCUCAGGGUGUAGAGAGUUGCCUUGUCACUGGCGAAGUCAGAUGCAGCCAGUACCAGAGCUCUGCACUAGCUGUGAACACUAAGGAAGAAUAGCUGAGUGAGGAAGCAGAGUGCCAGGCAGCACAUCCUUCUUCAGGUGUUUCCUGCCCUGGGCCAGAUCCCAGGCACUGCAGCAAUAUCUCUGCAUGAUCUAGGGCUCCUGGAAAUAGCCCAUUAAGGGCAAAACUCGCUGCCCAGAAAACAUUAGAACAUUAAAAGAGCAGGGUCUCAUCUGAUUGUCUUGGUUUCCUGAGGCUCAUUCAGUCUGUGUCCACUGGUUUCAGUCUGAGUUCUCUGCACUUUGAGGAUGCAGACAGUGAAGUUCUCCCAUGGUUAUAGGGGGAGAGAUCAUAGGAAUGCUAUGGAAAGAGGCCUGAAGUCAGAGCCAGCUAGUGGUUAUUAUUUAUUAAUUGCCUGUGAGGUGCCAGGCGCACAUAUUAGACCAUAUGUGAUUGCAGUGAGCCACCCGGAUCCCCUUCAAGCUGCUGCUGCAGCUGAUGGAAGUCCUAUUGGCAGACAGCCUUCUCUCAUCAGCCCCUUCAGGACUUGCCUCAGUUGCAGAGAGCUGCCUUCCCCAAGAUCACACCCUUCCCUGGGGACUCACAACCAAUGGCUGAUCCAGAAGAAUCCAUAAAGCCCGUAUCAUUUCAGCCCAAUUUAGGACAGCUUUGUUGAGCCAUUAGACCUACAUGCAGCCCAACCUCUCCUUCUACCCACUUCUUCUUUCUUCCCUUUCCUUCCACGGUGUCUGUUCCAAGCACUUGCCUUAAUAAACAUGUAACAGGUUAAACUCUGUCUCGAUGUCUGCUUCAAGGAGAACCCAACCUGUGACAGUGAUAACAGAUAAAAACAAAGGACAUCACUUUUCCCUGCCUUACUUUCCAUUUACCACUAAAAAGGGUCUUGGACUUGCCCACUCAGUUUCUUCUCUUUCUUCACUCUUUGGAGAUGGUCCCUCCACUACCACAGACACAAAAAAGAAGAGUUGGGAAGAGAGAGGGGUGAAAACAUUUGGGGCACUGCAGGCCUAGUGCUAGGUGACUGAAGACUACCUGGAGGGUGCAGGAAGUGACUGUUUCUCCAUCAUGUAUUGUAUUGCUAUAGUGACUUAAAAAACAAGUAGGUGAUUUGUGUUUUUUUGGUUUUUUUUUGUUUUUUUGGUUUUUUUUUUGAGACAGAGUCUCGCUCUGUCACCCAGGCUGGAGUGCAGUGGCGCUAUCUUGGCUCACUGCAAGCUCCACCUCCUGGGUUCAC